CUACGGGGGGCAGCAGCUAGGAAUUUUCUGCAAUGUACGAAAGUAUGACAGAGCGAGCCAGAGUGCUUUUCUAUAUUUGAAAAGCUUUUGUGAGGUGUAAAAAGUCUCACGAAUAAGGACCGGGCAAGACUGGUGCCAGCCGCCGCGGUAAUACCAGCGGUCCAAGUCGCAGCCACUUUUAUUGGGUCUAAAACAUCCGUAGCUAGUCUUGUAAGUUUCUUGUGAAAUCUGGCAUCUUAAGUGUCAGGCUUGCAAGAAAUACUGCAGGGCUUGAGACCGGGAGACGUGAUGAGUACAACUAGGGUAGCGGUAAAAUGCGUUGAUCCUUGUUGGACUAACAACAGCGAAGGCACGUCACGAGAACGGAUCUGACAGUGAGGGAUGAAGGCUAGGGGCGCAAAAUGGAUUAGAUACCCGUGUAGUC
rnacentral:rRNA from 1 species